GUUGUUGUGGCUGAGUGGUUAAGGUGAUGGAAUAGAAAUCCAUUGGGGUUUACCUGCGAAGGUUCGAAUCCUGCCUACAAUG